rnacentral:lncRNA from 1 species
CAGAGGUGUCAAGCUGCCAGUGUUGAUUCAAAUGAAAAUGAUAAUGUUGAAGAAGGAGGCUGCAAAAGUUCCUAAGCAACCUGACGGGAUAUACCUUGUAAAAUGCUUUCAAAAAAGCUUCAAAGGGCAGCUAAUAAAUGAAUAUACUGACAGGGUUUAAUCGCUUCUCCUCUCUCCUAGUAACAGGAAUUAAAGGCCACAGGUGGUUCUGGGUUGGAGGCAGGACCCAAAAGUAAAUGCAGCAUUCAGAGCUGCACAGGCCCAGUCAGAGCAGCUGCCACUUCAGGCACUUACAGUGGUCACCCAGGAUUCAGGAGAUGCAUAUUAUAAGUAACUCAGUUCUGUAAGAGCUAGGAGUUAGUUCACACUGCUUGGGCUCUCACUAAGUAAGCCUGUGCAAUGCAGGCAGGAAGGGAGAAAAUGCUUACAAAAAAGAAAUGAGUAGAUUCUUGCCUUAGGAAAGUCAACGGGAUACAAUUCCUGAUGGAAGAGCAGUUGCUAUUCUAAGAGCUAAUUAACAAGAAACAAUGCUGCAAAAAACUUGGGAGACAGGACGGCAGAACACACCCAGAUGGCCUGUGGGAAAUUCCCAGGCCUGCCAAUGAUGUGAGAGAGGACAUCUUGUGAAUGGGUGGGUACAGCCUGUUCUUCUGGGCAAGACAAACAGUGCAGGACUCUAUAUGCCAGGGUGGCUGAAGCCCCAGUGUCCAAGAGGCUUGCCCAUUCCUCCCUGCCCCUGGCACUGAACCCAAGCUUCCAUGGGGCACUGUGGAAGAGGCCUUGCCUGACGACAAGUAGACCAAACACGACCGUCCGUCCUCUAAAAACUGCACCCUUGGAAUUGGGGACAGGCAGAAUAACCCUUUCACUAGCUUGAUACUUAGCCUCUUGGGGUUCUGAUAAAUCCUUUUGAAUAACCAAGCAGUUUUGUUUUUAAUACCUUGGCCUGAGCCCUUUAGAUGCAGCCAUCCUCAACUUACAAAAAAAACAAACCAAAAGAAAAAACAAAACACACACACACACAAACAAACUUUGAUUCAAUUGACAAAGGUUUUCAAGGUGUCUACUACAUGUAAGGCAGCACACUAGGGGUUUCUUGGGGAUACGCAGAUGACAAAGACAGUGUCUCUUCAUCCAGGAGCUAAUCAAGAGAAGGGGGAAGAAUCAAGCAAACUUCAUAAUACACAGCCGGAUGAAAUGAAAAGAGACUUAGAUCAAGUGCUGUGAGAGCUUGGAAGAGGCACGGGGCAAAUAACACUGGGGCUGGUGGUGGGAAGGCAAGUGACAGCCUCGUGGAAGAGGUGGCAUUUGACCAGAGAUGAGGACGAACAGAAUUAACAUAGUAGGCAUGAAGGAAGAAAAUGCGCCUGAGGACACAGCCAGCACAAAUGCAGAGGCAUACAAGUGCCUGGUACAGCUGGCAUGCAGGGAUGGCUGAGGAACUGCGGGGGCAGCCGGUGGGAUCCAUCCGAGGUGAGUGAUGAGAGCUGCACGGCAAUUUAGGGGAUGACACUAGCCACAGCGUGAUGAAUAAAUCUUAAAUGCAGAGGUAGCGCCUGGUGGUGAGCAGUUAGAGGCUGAGACAAUAGCUGAGAACACAUGACAAGUUCAGCAACUAGGAGAGUUUCUAGUUAAUUGGAAGGAAGAGUUGGAAGCACAUUCUAGAGGGCCGUGGAAGAAUAAACACAAUCCACUAACUGCCGGGAAUGGGAGUGAAGAGUCCAAGAUCACAGGGUCCUCCCUGGCUGCCUGAUGGGGCAGUGGUGUUGAGUAACAGAAAUGGAACAAAAGAGGGGCAAGAGAUUAUUCUUUGUAGCAUGAGUAUUAGUAGCAGUGUUAGUAGUAGUAGUAUUUUUGUUAGUGGAACAAAGACAAAAAUAGCUCACACUUACUGAGAUCCUACAGUCUGCCAAAUCUGGGAGGCUGAUGGGCUCCGCUUUGCAUUGGAGGUGUGUGGGCACCCACAUGCAGAUGAAUUCUAGGGUAAAUCUGGGGUGCAGGCCAGGGCUGGCCAUCUAACGCUCAGAGACAUUGAAAUUUGAGUAACCACUGAAGCUGGGAGGGCAGGUUAGAUUGUGGAAAGUGACAGAGACAGACUAGAACUGAUACCAGCCCUAGGUCUCAGACACAUUUUAUUUGGCCUACCUAGUGUGUUUUGAAAUAAUUUUAAUUACUUCUCAAAUAUUUAAACGCUAGGAAAUGUCACAUCACAUGAAAAGUCAGGUUUUCCAACUUCUCGUGGAAAAUGAGAUACUCGGGAACACUGGGCCUGCACUCCUCUCAUAGAAACGGCCUGGAGUUGAGCAGGGGCUUCUGCUUUUCAUGGGGCACCAGAUGCCCAGUCAGUCACAUGCCCCACCACUCCCUAUCACCUCCCACCUGGCUGGUAUCACUCACGGACUUUCAUGGCUCCUGACCCCUGGUGUAGGGUGAGAAGCAGCCAGAGUGGCAGCUGGAGGAUGCCAUGAAGAGGCCAGAGGAGGAUGAAUACCAUGAAACAGAAACCAGGACCGGGAGAAGGAGGGUCCGGGGUGAUACUAAGGGGGUAGAAGCUUUGUGUGUUGUGGUGGUGGUGGGGUGGCCCUUCUACCACUACCCCCGUCCAGUGAUGUGGAGAUGAGGAGUUAAGGGAACAUUUAACAUUAGUCCCAGGCCUGAAAUCUUUCACAGUUCACGUUGGUGCAGAUGGUGUGGAGUUGGAGGUGGAUAGCUUGCCAUCCUAGGCUGGGCACAGGCCUUUCCCUAAACUCUCUGUUCCUACUGCUGUGAAUGGUGACAGCAUAAUCCUUUUGCAGAAAACUUUCAUUAUUUGCUUAUGUCCCUAAUGGGACCCAAAUGCCAGUAAGUUAACAAUUGUGCUCCUCGGGGCCAUCACUUUCAUCCACAUUUAAGGUCACACUGAAAAGUUGCCUCACCUCAGCUGACUUUCUCCCUGACUGUGAUCCAAGAGGGAAAGUCGGCCAAAGAGGAAAAUAAUGUGACUUCAUGAAAUAUUCUGCACACAUUUACUAAAGGAAGCAGAAUGUUUUCUAGGGCCAAGAAAAGCACUUUAUAAGCUGCACAGAGUGAGUGAGGGGACCAGGGUGGAAAAUCUGGAUUCUACCCCAAGUGUAAGUCUCAAACUGACUGGAGAGCAGGGGAAAGAGAAGGGUCAAGAACUCAGGGACUCAUUUUAUGUUCCCCUUCCUGCUGUGGCCCUCAUUACAGUGGAACUGAACUAGAGGAUACUCAAGGAAUCAGAGGCACACCUGGCCCCGAGAAUGAGACACUUAACAGUUUUUUUCCCAGACUACAGAGGAGGUGUGGCUGCAGGGGAAAGCAAGCAGGCAUGCUCCCUCCUGACGCUAGUUCUAAGGGGACAUGUAAAGGAUUUGGGCCAAGUUUGUAUAGGAAUGUCCUGGGAGGCCUCCUGCAAGCCAGGGAAGGCUGAAAGAACUAACAGCUUCUCUGACAUGGAGGGCUGGUCAGGCUCUGCAGUGUCACUGCUUGUGUUUGUAUCAUUCUUUCACCACUGAGUUACUGUGUGACUGUGGACAAAUUUCUUAACUUCUCUGAGCCUUAGAUUUCUCAACUCUAACAUGAAGAUUUUCCUAUAUUUUAAAAAGUUAUGAUGAGUCAAUGAGAGAAUUAACGUAAAGCGCCUGGCAUAAAGAAAGCCCUCAAGAAAUGAUAGUAUUAGUGAACAUCUUGUUGCCGUCCUAGGCUCGAAUAGACUGUCCCUAAACACUCUGUUCCCACCGCUGUGAACAGUGGCAGCAUAAUUCUUUUGCAGAAUACUUCCAUUAUUUGCUUAUGUCCCUAAUGGGACCCAAAUGCCAAACUUGUAAGUCCAUCCUGUUCUACUAAAAGGCAGGGGCACAGAUAGAAAGCUGCUGAGAGACUACACUCUGAGGUCAGCCUUGACCCUGAGGCUCAUCUGGCUCUCCCUGUUCCUCUACAGCCAGGCAAACAGGAUUCCUGCAGACAAUGCUCGGAUGAUGAAAUCUGAGAGGCUGGAUGACAGAGAAACCCACAUGCAUACACACACACUUUAUAAAGCUUAGGAACAAAAGCACUUUAUAAUCUCCUUCUGAUGCCAAGUUUACAGUGCUUCCAGAGUCAACAAAGGUGACUCAGGAGAGUGCACCCAGCUCCUUUCAGCACUUAUUUAGCUCAGCCACCUGUGUGAGCUCAAAGACAAGGGUGCCGACUUCACCUGAGUAGACCCUGAGUCACGUGAUUUCUUGCUGGAGAUGAUUCAGCAAAGGAGCACUAACCUCUGAGACAAGGCUUCAGCUUCCUGAGCUCUGCUGACUCGCCUGGGACUUCCCUAAGCCCUUCUGGACCUAGAUGAGGGCAAAACUCAGUGGAACCUCAGAAGCCCUAAAAAAAUGAUAGACUUUCUUUUGUCUCAUCAUUAUCAGCAUUUUGGGAUGAUUUAGUCAGCCUAAGAAACCUGAUGGCAUGUUGACACCAGAAAACAGGUAGUAUAUAUUCCCAAACCAAGUUAAAAAAAAUUAAGAAAUAACAGCUGGAAUGCCUUUUAUUUUUUCUUUACACAAAUGUGUGUGUCAUCGUCAUAUGCCUUUUUUGUGUUAAUUUCUGAGGAUCCUGCCAGUGUGAAUACUCCAUUCUCUGCGAGUCGCAGGUCAGGCUGCUUUUGAGGCAAGCACACGUUAAGUAUUGAGCAGAAACAUUUGAAGCAAAGAUGAGAAAGACAGAAGGGGAAGCAAGAAAAAUAGUCUUCCCAGUGUGCCUAUUUGGGUGCAUAUAAAGUUACUUUUAGAUGUGCGAUUACUGGUUAAUGAUUUGGGGAAUUCUUUUCAAGUAGAAAUCCUGGGCUAAAAACUAAGUGUGCUCAAGCUACCCCCGCACCCACUGAUUCUGCACUCCAUGGGAAAAGUUCUCACAAGCAAGUCCUUUGUCCACUACCCACGUCUAUAGGAAAUGUUUGAACAGCUAUACACAAAGAACUCACAAGUCCACAACCUCGGGGGUGUUGCGGGUGGAGAGGGCAGUGGUAAAGGUGAUGACAGGGAGGGCCUGUGGGGACAGUAAUAUUAGAUUAGUGGUCAGAAGAUGCUGGAGCCUGCCUUGCCAGUCACACACUUUUAGAGGAAUGCUGGACAGUACACACCCUCCCCAACCCUGAAUGUAGGCCCUCGCUGACAUCACGCCAGAUGAAGCCCUGAGGUCUUUAACAUCUGUAACUCUAUGGCAUGUAACAUAAACAGGUGUCUGACCAGUUUCCCCAGAUAUAGAAUAAUAAUAAUACCUUUCAUUUAAAAAGGUAAGAGGGAAUUCAACAAGCUUUCCUUCUUAAAUAAAUCUCCAUCUCAGGAAGCCAUGGAAAGAUGCCCCUCCCACACUAAGACUGUAGAGAGAGGCACUGUGAAGGUCUGGCUUGGAGAUCUCAGCUCUUCCUGCCUCUCAGGGGGAAAGGGCAGAUCCAGCAGGCCGGGAAAGGAUCUCCCAGGGUCCCAAGGAGGCAGCAUGGGGCAAAGUCCAACAGUGAGGAUUCUCUCCUUCUCUGGUCUCUUUUCUGUUAAAAAUGCUUCUUUGGGGUACCCUUCAUUACUACCCUGGAGGUUGAAGGACACUUCUUGAGAAGGCAUAGAUACUCUUCAGGUAUGCUGAAGAAAUGAGUUGUGCUAAAACCACUGGUUAAUUUUGUCUGUGGCAAAAAAUCAUGAGGGUGACAUAGACUCCCAGGCCAGGAACCCGAGACUGGAUUUAAGAGAUGUGGCCAGGAUCCACAGGGGAGCUUGUAUGUGGCUCACAUCAUUAGCUCUUUCUGUAUAUUUGUAUUGUAAACCAUUUCCCUUCAUUUGUGAAGAUGGAGAUCACUUUUUCUAUACAGGCUAGAAAUGUUUCUUCAUACACACACGCUGAGCUUGUUUAUAAAAGAUAUUCAUUUAUAUGGUGGUUUUAACAACUUUUCCAUGUGGAAAUUUUAGACGACAGUAACACAGACCCUCAUGUACUCAUCACUCAGCCUUGAUGGUUACUGACACAUGCCCAAUAUUGUUUCAUCUGUUUCUCCCCACAACUCCUGGAUUAAUUUGAAAGAAAUCCUAGAAGUCACUUAAUCAGCAAAUACUCCAGUCUGUUGGUCCACUCCUUAUACAAUAGCCAGGGUGAUCUUUUACACAUGAAGUAGUGAUUGCAUCACUCAUGCUUGCUUGGAAUUCUUCAAAGACUUACGUUGGCACUUCAGAUAAAGUGUAGACUCCUUCGCGUGACCUAGGAUGUCCUUUGGGCUCUCACUGUUCCCUCAGCCUCCUCACCUGAAGCUCUCACUGCCCCACCCCUUUGCUCAUCACACUCCAACCCGCCUGCCAUUGAGCUACUCAAAUGGACUGCUCCUUUCUCAAGACCUCUGCACACUUUCAAGCCUCAUUUCUCUUCAGCCUUUAUUAAAUGUCAUCUCCUCCAGAUGGCCUCCUUUGGUGGCCCAGGUCAUGUUAGAUCUGCCUGUUAAAUAAAUGCUUUCAAAGAACCUUGGAUUUUAUUUUUUUCUCAUUAAAUUGUAAGUAUAUAGUUAAUGUUUAAUUUCUCUUUAAAAUUUCUUUCUCCCUCCCCACCCCAACUGGACUGUAAAUUCCACAAGAGCAGGAUCAUGUUUGCCUCACUCAUCACUGAAUUCCUGGCACCUCGCACAGAACCUGAGUAUUGCAGAACCCAUGCCUGCUAUGCACAUAUGCAUUGAUAUAAGCCUAUUAUAUAAAUAAACAGAUCAAUAUCUAUUUGGCUAUUUACACCCCACCUAUAUGUCUUUGGUCAAGAUUUAAAAGCUCCUGGAAAAACAAAAAUACAAUUUCCUUAGGAAUAAAAGCCUACCACAGCCUUGUGUAAAAUUAAGCACUUAAUAACCUUGAUGAUGUUGCUGAACUGUUCAAGGAGAAGAUGAGGAUAAUGACAUCUCUAAGUGUGUUGUGAAAUUACUACUCACAAGUUAGCAAUACUAAUCACUUACUCUUGUAUCGUGCAUUCCACUUGGAAAACACUUUCAUGUAUACUGCCUUAUUUGAAGCGGGCACUAUAGGUGUUAUUAUCACACCUUUAUAGACUGAAAAUCAGUGGCAGAAGUCACAUGAGGUCUAGGGUGUGUUCUUUCCAUUCUAACAUGUAAAGUCCCUUCAUCUCUCUGGGCCCGUUUCCUCAUCUACAGAUGAGGAAAUGUGGACAAAAUAUUUUUAAACUAUUUCCAGCUCUACAAUUCUGUGUUUAUGCCUCUAAUGAUCACAAAGCUCUAUAAAAUUAAGGGCAAAGACAAAUAAUUACAGUUCAAAACUUAGCACUCAUGAUUUCCCUACUGUUUUUAGAACUAUGCAAAACACCAUCCAAUGGAUUCAACUAUUCACAUGAGGAACUCUUGAAGUCACCAAGCUCCCAGAAAGCCUGAUCUUAGGUGGACACAAAAUUCUGGAAAAAGGCGUCAAGUCAAUAUUGGUAAAGAACACAGUAUACCUUGAUCUGGCCCUGUGCAGCCAAAUGAAUGCUUGUUCAGAGUGCACGUACCACAUCUUACUUAUCUAUUCAUCUGUUGAUGGACACAUGGGUUGCUUCCACCUUCGGGCUAUUGUACGUAAUGCUGCUAUGGACAUGGGUGUACAAAUAU